AUUGAACGCUGGCGGCAGGCUUAACACAUGCUAGUCGAGCGAGUGGCGGACGGGUGAGUAAUGCCUGGGAAACUGCCUGAUGGAGGGGGAUCACUACUGGAAACGGUAGCUAAUACCGCAUACCAUAAGAUGUGCCCUGAUGGGAUUAGCGAGUAGGUGGGGUAAUGGCUCACCUAGGCGACGAUCCAUAGCUGGUCUGAGCGGAUGACCGGCCACACUGGAGCUGAAAAACGGUCCAGACUCCUACGGGAGGCAGAAGUGGGGAAUAUUGCACAAUGGGCGGAAGCCUGAUGCAGCCAUGCCGCUUGUGUGAAGAAGGCCUUCGGGUUGUAAAGCACUUUCAGCGAGGGGGCGUUACUCGCAGAAGAAGGACCGGCUAACGCCGUGCCAGCAGCCGCGAUAAGAC
rnacentral:rRNA from 1 species